ACAGUACAAACUGAGCAGGCAGCGAGCUUAUUCACCGGGCUCAUGGGGCCGGGCCGUUAGCGGCAGCAGAGAGCUGAAAGCAUCUGCGGGACAGUA
rfam:Clostridium sp. KLE 1755 genomic scaffold Scaffold142, whole genome shotgun sequence.